rnacentral:rRNA from 1 species
UACGGAGGUGGCAAGCGUUGCUCUGAAUCACUGGGCGUAAAGGGCGCGUAGGCGGGGAGGUAAGUCGGGUGUGAAAUCCCUCGGCCCAACCGAGGAACUGCGCCCGAGACUGCUUCUCUUGAGUCCCGGAGAGGAAGAUGGAAUUCCCGGUGUAGCGGUGAAAUGUGUAGAGAUCGGGAGGAACACCGGUGGCGAAGGCGGUCUUCUGGACGGUGACUGACGCUGAGACGCGAAAGCGUGGGGAGCAAACAGG